rnacentral:rRNA from 1 species
UAAGUGAAGAGUUUGAUCCUGGCUCAGAUUGAACGCUGGCGGCAUGCCUAACACAUGCAAGUCGAACGGCAGCAUGAGGUGUAGCAAUACACCUUGAUGGCGAGUGGCGGACGGGUGAGGAAUGCAUCGGAAUCUGCCCAGUCGUGGGGGACAACGCAGGGAAACUUGCGCUAAUACCGCAUACGACCUUCGGGUGAAAGCAGGGGAUCUUCGGACCUUGCGCGAUUGGAUGAGCCGAUGCCGGAUUAGCUAGUUGGCGGGGUAAUGGCCCACCAAGGCGACGAUCCGUAGCUGGUCUGAGAGGAUGAUCAGCCACACUGGGACUGAGACACGGCCCAGACUCCUACGGGAGGCAGCAGUGGGGAAUAUUGGACAAUGGGGGCAACCCUGAUCCAGCAAUGCCGCG